rnacentral:rRNA from 1 species
ACUCCUACGGGAGGCAGCAGUGGGGAAUAUUGCACAAUGGGCGCAAGCCUGAUGCAGCCAUGCCGCGUGUGUGAAGAAGGCCUUCGGGUUGUAAAGCACUUUCAGUCGUGAGGAAGGUAGUGUAGUUAAUAGCUGCAUUAUUUGACGUUAGCGACAGAAGAAGCACCGGCUAACUCCGUGCCAGCAGCCGCGGUAAUACGGAGGGGUUGAUGCGUUGUUCGGAAUUACUGGGCGUAAAGCGCACGUAGGCGGACUAUUAAGUUAGAGGUGAAAUCCCAGGGCUCAACCCUGGAACUGCCUUUAAUACUGGUAGUCUUGAGUUCGAGAGAGGUGAGUGGAAUUCCGAGUGUAGAGGUGAAAUUCGUAGAUAUUCGGAGGAACACCAGUGGCGAAGGCGGCUCACUGGCUCGAUACUGACGCUGAGGUGCGAAGUGUGGGGAGCAAACAGGAUUAGAUACCCUGGUAGGUGACAAU